UUCAGUUGGGCUUCGUCUCGCGCUAUGGUUUUGUGGCCCAGAGACCAGGCCUUUGUGGUGAUAAGCACCUUCGUGUUCUUCGUUUCUCUCCUCCGCGUGCGACGGCGAUGAGGUGACCUUUCCGCUUCUUUUCACUUCUGAAACGCAUACUUAAAGGAGACGACUUUGAGCAAAUCUCAGAAACGGAAAAUUAAAAAAAACUUGAGGAAGACAAGGAGAAGGAGCUCCUCUCUGCGAAAACUUCUAAGUUGUUAGACAAGUUUAAAAUAUCUGAGGAUGUGUCUUCGCUUUAAUCUUCAAAAGCCAUCAGUAGAUCUGAUACGAAGUUGGAGAAAUGCAGGAGACUAAUGCAACUAUCUAAAGCUGGUGUUUUGUCUGAUGAACCAGUCAACGAUGAAACGGUCGUAUACAUGAGCUAUCGUUCCGUUUCGAUCAUCCAAUAUACACACUGCAUCUACAUUUGAUAGAGUGUUCAGCCUUGCAAGCUGUAAUAAGGAGGUGUAUGAUCGAUCAAGGGGCGAAUUAAGUUUCUCUCUUUGUUGUUAGUGGGGUUCACUGUAAUGCAUGUUGCUGAAGUGAUAGAGCUGAAGAAGGUUUAGUAGUUAAGGUACAAAUUUCAUUUCAUAAACACUGUGCUUGCAUUUGCUGAUGGAAAGCUUUAUUUUCUUUUAGUUAUUUUAAUCUGAUGGAUGGAGUUCACUUUUGGUUUUAAACAUGUUUAUGACAUCACAUGAACACUUUUUCGAUCAAACCUUGAGAAAGAUCCACAAAAGAAGGUAAAAUGGCUCAGACAUGCAGGUAUAUACCUACUGUCGAGUGUCUCUUUAGGAAGAUGCAGCAGAAUCCAUACUUGCAGAAGGAUGUGGAUCCUCUACGGCAUGGUGGUGAGUGCACAUGAAGUAGCUUAAGCAGUGAUAUCGGCCAUUGUGGUAUCUGAAGGUUAGAAUGCUGCAAAUUUACCAUUGUGGCAUAUGGACAGAGAGAUAUCGAAGUGAUUCGGACAAGGAACAAAUACCACCCAUCACUCGGGACUGCAAGGCGAUACAUCCAGUUUUACAAAGCGACUGAUCUUAUUAAAUACACGAGAGUUUGGAUUCGGAAAAUAAUCAACCAUUUUUCCUUUUACAACUUUACAUCCCGUUCUCCAAGAUGUUACCAAUAACUAAAUAAUUAAGAUCCUCAUUACAUAAACAGAGACUGGACCAGAAAUAUUGUUUUUUUGUUCACUGAAUAUAAAUAAUAAACAAAUUCCAAUACAAAUUGGAACCAAGACGUUGCCAUA